AUGAACGUUGGCGGCGUGGAUUAGGCAUGCAAGUCGAAUGCGAAUGGGGGUAACUCCUAGUAGCAUGGCGAAUGGGGUAGUAAUGCGUGGGGAACCUGCCCUCAGGUCUGGGAUAUACGGUGGAAACGCCGGGCAAUACUGGACGUCAUCGGAAGUCGGCAUCGAUUUCCGAUGAAAGGUUUACCGCCUGGGGAGGGCCUCAUGUCCUAUCAGCUUGUUGGUGAGGUGACGGCUCACCAAGGCGACGACGGGUAGGGGGUGUGAGAGCACGACCCCCACCACUGGCACUGAGACACUGGCCAGACUCCUACGGGAGGCUGCAGUCGAGAAUCUUCGGCAAUGGGCGAAAGCCUGACCGAGCGACGCCGCGUGGAGGAAGAAGGCCCUCGGGUUGUAAACUCCUGUUGGGGGGGAACAAAUCAUGAGUGAACCCCUGAGGAAGCACGGGCUAAGUUCGU
rnacentral:rRNA from 1 species